UACGAAGGGGGCUAGCGUUGCUCGGAAUCACUGGGCGUAAAGGGUGCGUAGGCGGGGCUUUAAGUCAGGGGUGAAAUCCUGGAGCUCAACUCCAGAACUGCCUUUGAUACUGAAGAUCUUGAGUUCGGGAGAGGUGAGUGGAACUGCGAGUGUAGAGGUGAAAUUCGUAGAUAUUCGCAAGAACACCAGUGGCGAAGGUGGCUCACUGGCCCGAUACUGACGCUGAUGCACGAAAGCGUGGGGAGCAAACAGG
rnacentral:rRNA from 1 species